rnacentral:sRNA from 1 species
GAUGCCAGAGUCAAAAGGUCUGAGCCAACAUGAGCUUGCUCAUAAAUAAGUGGGUGAGAGACCUUGGGACCCGCCCCGAUAUGAGCAUAAAAGCGGGAUGUAUGUCCCACGAUAUGCGAAUAUUGGGGAGGAUUGCGGGAGUGCGGAGCACAGAACAAUCCAUAGGCAU